rnacentral:rRNA from 1 species
GACGAACGCUGGCGGCGUGCCUAAUACAUGCAAGUUGAGCGCUGAAGGUUGGUACUUGUACCAACUGGAUGAGCAGCGAACGGGUGAGUAACGCGUGGGGAAUCUGCCUUUGAGCGGGGGACAACAUUUGGAAACGAAUGCUAAUACCGCAUAAAAACUUUAAACACAAGUUUUAAGGUUGAAAGAUGCAAUUGCAUCACUCAAAGAUGAUCCCGCGUUGUAUUAGCUAGGUGGGGAGGGAAAGGCCCACCAAGGCGAUGAUACAUAGCCGACCUGAGAGGGUGAUCGGCCCACUUGGGACUGAGACACGGCCCAAACUCCUACGGGAGGCAGCAGGAGGGAAUCUUCGGCAAUAGACGAAAGGCUGACCGAGCAACGCCGCGGGAGUGAAGAAGGUUUUCGGGUCGUAAAACUCUGUUGGUAGAGAAGGAAGUUGGUGAGAGUGGAAAGCUCAUCAAGUGACGGUAACUACCCAGAAAGGGACGGCUAACUACGUG